GAGUUUGAUCCUGGCUCAGAAUGAACGCUGGCGGCGUGCUUAACACAUGCAAGUCGAGCGAAAAGCCCUUCGGGGUGAGUAAGCGGCGAACGGGUGAGUAAUACAUAAGUUACCUGCCCCUCAGUGAGGAAUACCCUUGAGAAAUCAAGGUUAAUACUGCAUACGUCCCUACGGGGAGAAAGACGGCUUUUAUGCCGUCGCUGAAGGAUGGGCUUGUGGGCUAUCAGCUAGUUGGUGGGGUAAAGGCUCACCAAGGCUAUGACGGCUAGCCGGCCUGAGAGGGUGUACGGCCACACUGGAACUGAGACACGGUCCAGACUCCUACGGGAGGCAGCAGUGGGGAAUAUUGCGCAAUGGGCGAAAGCCUGACGCAGCGACGCCGCGUGGAGGAUGAAGGUUUUCGGAUUGUAAACUCCUGUUAAGUGGGAAGAAAGGCCUGAUAGUAAUAUGAUCAGGAUAUGACGGUACCACUAGAGAAAGCACCGGCUAACUUCGUGCCAGCAGCCGCGGUAAUACGAGGGGUGCAAGCGUUAUUCGGAAUAAUUGGGCGUAAAGGGUGCGUAGACGGUUUUUUAAGUCUGUUGUUAAAUUCCCCGGCUUAACUGGGGGCCUGCAAUGGAAACUGAUUGACUAGAGGGUGAGAGAGAGAAGUGGAAUUCCAGGAGUAGCGGUAAAAUGCGUAGAUCUCUGGAGGAACACCGAUGGCGAAGGCAGCUUCUUGGCUCAUUUCUGACGUUGAUGCACGAAAGCGUGGGGAGCAAACAGGAUUAGAUACCCUGGUAGUCCACGCUGUAAACGAUAAUCACUAGACGUUGGGUCUGGCUUAGCCAGAUCAGUGUCGAAGCUAACGCGUUAAGUGAUUCGCCUGGGGAGUACGGUCGCAAGAUUAAAACUCAAAGGAAUUGACGGGGAUUCGCACAAGCGGUGGAACAUGUGGUUUAAUUCGACACUACGCGAGGAACCUUACCUGGGCUUGACAUGCUUUUGAUCGCCGUAGAGAUAUGGUUUUCCAGGAUUUAUUCUGGACAAUUGCACAGGUGCUGCAUGGCUGUCGUCAGCUCGUGUCGUGAGAUGUUAGGUUAAGUCCCGCAACGAGCGCAACCCUUGUCGUUAAUUGCCAUCAUUCAGUUGGGCACUUUAAUGAGACUGCCGGUGACAAACCGGAGGAAGGUGGGGAUGACGUCAAGUCCUCAUGGCCCUUAUGGGUAGGGCUUCACACGUCAUACAAUGGUCGGUCCAGAGGGUUGCCAACCCGCGAGGGGGAGCUAAUCUCAGAAAGCCGAUCGUAGUCCGGAUUGCAGUCUGCAACUCGACUGCAUGAAGUCGGAAUCGCUAGUAAUCGCGGAUCAGCAUGUCGCGGUGAAUACGUUCCCGGGUCUUGUACACACCGCCCGUCACACCAUGGGAGCGGGUUCUGCCAGAAGUAGUUAGCCUAACCGCAAGGAGGGCGAUUACCACGGCAGGGUUCGUGACUGGGGUGAAGUCGUAACAAGGUAACCGUA
rnacentral:rRNA from 1 species